UACGGAGGGUGCAAGCGUUUAUCCGGAUUCACUGGGUUUAAAGGGUGCGUAGGUGGGUUGGUAAGUCAGUGGUGAAAUCUCCGUGCUUAACAUGGAAACUGCCAUUGAUACUACUGGUCUUGAAUUUUCUGGAGGUAAGCGGAAUAUGUCAUGUAGCGGUGAAAUGCUUAGAUAUGACAUAGAACACCAAUUGCGAAGGCAGCUUACUACAGGGACAUUGACACUGAGGCACGAAAGCGUGGGGAGCGAACAGG
rnacentral:rRNA from 1 species